GAAGGUGUGCUGUGAGGCAUGCUGGAGGUAUCAGAAGUGCGAAUGCUGACAUAAGUAACGAUAAAGCGGGUGAAAAGCCCGCUCGCCGGAAGACCAAGGGUUCCUGUCCAACGUUAAUCGGGGCAGGGUGAGUCGACCCCUAAGGCGAGGCCGAAAGGCGUAGUCGAUGGGAAACAGGUUAAUAUUCCUGUACUUGGUGUUACUGCGAAGGGGGGACGGAGAAGGCUAUGUUGGCCGGGCGACGGUUGUCCCGGUUUAAGCGUGUAGGCUGGUUUUCCAGGCAAAUCCGGAAAAUCAAGGCUGAGGCGUGAUGACGAGGCACUACGGUGCUGAAGCAACAAAUGCCCUGCUUCCAGGAAAAGCCUCUAAGCAUCAGGUAACAUCAAAUCGUACCCCAAACCGACACAGGUGGUCAGGUAGAGAAUACCAAGGCGCUUGAGAGAACUCGGGUGAAGGAACUAGGCAAAAUGGUGCCGUAACUUCGGGAGAAGGCACGCUGAUAUGUAGGUGAAGCGACUUGCUCGUGGAGCUGAAAUCAGUCGAAGAUACCAGCUGGCUGCAACUGUUUAUUAAAAACACAGCACUGUGCAAACACGAAAGUGGACGUAUACGGUGUGACGCCUGCCCGGUGCCGGAAGGUUAAUUGAUGGGGUCAGCGCAAGCGAAGCUCUUGAUCGAAGCCCCGGUAAACGGCGGCCGUAACUAUAACGGUCCUAAGGUAGCGAAAUUCCUUGUCGGGUAAGUUCCGACCUGCACGAAUGGCGUAAUGAUGGCCAGGCUGUCUCCACCCGAGACUCAGUGAAAUUGAACUCGCUGUGAAGAUGCAGUGUACCCGCGGCAAGACGGAAAGACCCCGUGAACCUUUACUAUAGCUUGACACUGAACAUUGAGCCUUGAUGUGUAGGAUAGGUGGGAGGCUUUGAAGUGUGGACGCCAGUCUGCAUGGAGCCGACCUUGAAAUACCACCCUUUAAUGUUUGAUGUUCUAACGUUGACCCGUGAUCCGGGUUGCGGACAGUGUCUGGUGGGUAGUUUGACUGGGGCGGUCUCCUCCUAAAGAGUAACGGAGGAGCACGAAGGUUGGCUAAUCCUGGUCGGACAUCAGGAGGUUAGUGCAAUGGCAUAAGCCAGCUUGACUGCGAGCGUGACGGCGCGAGCAGGUGCGAAAGCAGGUCAUAGUGAUCCGGUGGUUCUGAAUGGAAGGGCCAUCGCUCAACGGAUAAAAGGUACUCCGGGGAUAACAGGCUGAUACCGCCCAAGAGUUCAUAUCGACGGCGGUGUUUGGCACCUCGAUGUCGGCUCAUCACAUCCUGGGGCUGAAGUAGGUCCCAAGGGUAUGGCUGUUCGCCAUUUAAAGUGGUACGCGAGCUGGGUUUAGAACGUCGUGAGACAGUUCGGUCCCUAUCUGCCGUGGGCGCUGGAGAACUGAGGGGGGCUGCUCCUAGUACGAGAGGACCGGAGUGGACGCAUCACUGGUGUUCGGGUUGUCAUGCCAAUGGCACUGCCCGGUAGCUAAAUGCGGAAGAGAUAAGUGCUGAAAGCAUCUAAGCACGAAACUUGCCCCGAGAUGAGUUCUCCCUGACUCCUUGAGAGUCCUGAAGGAACGUUGAAGACGACGACGUUGAUAGGCCGGGUGUGUAAGCGCAGCGAUGCGUUGAGCUAACCGGUACUAAUGAACCGUGAGGCUUAACCUUACAACGCCGAAGCUGUU
rnacentral:rRNA from 1 species